CAGCAGGGAUAUAAAGCCGGCUGGCUGGCUGCCUGCCUCUGCCUCUCUCUCCCUUGCUUCUCUUCCUUUCUUUCCCGGAGCCGCACCCAAGCCCCCACCCCAUGUACCCCUUACCCCUACCUCUGGGGGGGGCCAGCCAUCACCCCAUACUCCCCUACUGCAGGAGAGUUUAGGGGGGCUGAGAGCUUGGAGAGCCAGGAGAGGGGACUCAAAGAAAGAGGAAACACUCAGGAAGGGAUGGAGAGAUGGACAGAGCUGAAUGCCUGUGGGAAGCACGGAGAGAAGCAGAGGACUAUGGGAGGCCAGGAGCAGGAGACCUGUGGGCCUGGUGAGCGGCACAGACCUCUGCACUCGGUGGGAUUCCCAGCAGGCCUCGCUCCAAGCUCCCAGGGUUACUCUGAGGUCCGCCUAUGUUGCGGAUCAGAGCUCUGAAUUCUCAGCCUGCCUUAAUUUGCUGUGGGACUGUCCAGGAUUCCAGGGACUCACGGAUCCUAGCCUGAUAAAGUCACUGAAGACUCUGCCUCAAACGGUCCUGGGUUGUUCUUCCAAGUCACCUCCUUAGACCCAGCGAUGCAAGGCUUGUCCCCCACAAGUGAGCUCCAGCUCCUGAGAUCUUCAGGGCUCCUGCACGGGGAGUAUAGGAGUCUGUCCUCGUCGCCUCCGUGAUGUAGCAUGCGGAGGGCUACAGGGGACUGCAACUGGCCACGGGGACUGCAAGGCCAGAGCUGCGUUCCUGGCUCCAACAGCUGAUAAGCCUGUCACCGGUACCACAUCCACAGUGAGACCUGUGUUGGCUUCUCGAGCCCUUCAGGAACACCCUCCCAAAGAUGUCCCGGAGGCCCUGUGUGUAUCAUCUAAACUCUGUCCUCUGACCACAUUCUUUGCAGCCUCACACUUGGGCUGAUAACACUUGUGCCUGAUCCCGGGGGUGCCUCUGAGGCCUCCGAAGUUCUCCUGCUUCUCGGCAUCUCCAGGCCUCGUAUGGGAGACAUCCCAGGGUGGGGCAGGGUGCUGCAGUAAUAAAUGGAUGGAUCUAGAUCU
rnacentral:lncRNA from 1 species